UGGGACAAAUAUUAAGAUGUAUGCAAAUAUCUCCUGCCAUUUCUUGGAGCAUGAUUCUGCUGAUUCUCUUUGUGACACUUGAUAUCACUCAUGUAGCAACGUAACAGGCCAUGUGGCUUGCCCAGGAACAGAAGAUAAGAGCGAGCCAGUUCCAAUAACUGCCAAAGUGGGAGCCUUCAGAAGAAAGCAGCAGAUGAGAGAUUUCCUGGAGCAUUUGCUGAAGGACAAUCAUGAUGAUAUUUUCACUGCGACACCCUUUCAGAAGAG